rnacentral:rRNA from 1 species
AACGAACGCUGGCGGCGCGUCUUAAGCAUGCAAGUCGGACGGCAAGGGUAGCAAUACCCCUAGAGUGGCGGACUGGUGAGUAACGCGUGGGUGACCUACCCUCGAGAUGGGGAUAGCCAUUAGAAAUAGUGGAUAAUACCGAAUACGCUCGUGACCCUGUGGGGAUACGAGGAAAUCAGGCUACGGCCUGGCUCGAGGAUGGGCCCGCGUCCCAUUAGCUAGUUGGUGAGGUAACGGCCCACCAAGGCGACGAUGGGUAUGCGGCCUGAGAGGGUGUACGGACACAUUGGGACUGAGAUACGGCCCAAACUCCUACGGGAGGCAGCAGCUAAGAAUAUUCCGCAAUGGACGAAAGUCUGACGGAGCGACGCCGCGUGGAUGAAGAAGGCCGAAAGGUUGUAAAAUCCUUUUGCUGAUGAAGAAUAAGUGGUGUAGGGAAUGACAUCAUGAUGACAUUAGUCGGUGAAUAAGCCCCGGCUAACUACGUGCCAGCAGCCGCAGUAA